rnacentral:rRNA from 1 species
GACGAACGCUGGCGGCGUGCUUAACACAUGCAAGUCGAACGGAAAGGCCCUGCUUUUGUGGGGGGCUCGAGUGGCGAACGGAUGAGUAACACGUGAGUAACCUGCCCUUGACUUUGGGAUAACUACAGGAAACUGGGGCUAAUAACGGAUAGGAGCUCCUGCUGCAUGGUGGGGGUUGGAAAGUUUCGGCGGUUGGGGAUGGACUCGCGGCUUAUCAGCUUGUUGGUGGGGUAGUGGCUUACCAAGGCUUUGACGGGUAGCCGGCCUGAGAGGGUGACCGGCCACAUUGGGACUGAGAUACGGCCCAGACUCCUACGGGAGGCAGCAGUGGGGAAUAUUGCACAAUGGGCGGAAGCCUGAUGCAGCAACGCCGCGUGCGGGAUGACGGCCUUCGGGUUGUAAACCGCUUUCGCCUGUGACGAAGCGUGAGUGACGGUAAUGUGUAAAGAAGCACCGGCUAACUACGUG